GGCCUAGUGGUCUAGUGGUUAUGAUUUGCACUCUGGGCUGUCAAACGAUGAGUGUGAGGCACCCCGUUCGAUUCGGGGCUGGGCCC